GUUAAGCGACUAAGCGUACACGGUGGAUGCCCUGGCAGUCAGAGGCGAUGAAGGACGUGCUAAUCUGCGAUAAGCGUCGGUAAGGUGAUAUGAACCGUUAUAACCGGCGAUUUCCGAAUGGGGAAACCCAGUGUGAUUCGUCACACUAUCAUUAACUGAAUCCAUAGGUUAAUGAGGCGAACCGGGGGAACUGAAACAUCUAAGUACCCCGAGGAAAAGAAAUCAACCGAGAUUCCCCCAGUAGCGGCGAGCGAACGGGGAGCAGCCCAGAGCCUGAAUCAGUGUGUGUGUUAGUGGAAGCGUCUGGAAAGGCGCGCGAUACAGGGUGACAGCCCCGUACACAAAAAUGCACAUGCUGUGAGCUCGAUGAGUAGGGCGGGACACGUGGUAUCCUGUCUGAAUAUGGGGGGACCAUCCUCCAAGGCUAAAUACUCCUGACUGACCGAUAGUGAACCAGUACCGUGAGGGAAAGGCGAAAAGAACCCCGGCGAGGGGAGUGAAAAAGAACCUGAAACCGUGUACGUACAAGCAGUGGGAGCACGCUUAGGCGUGUGACUGCGUACCUUUUGUAUAAUGGGUCAGCGACUUAUAUUCUGUAGCAAGGUUAACCGAAUAGGGGAGCCGAAGGGAAACCGAGUCUUAACUGGGCGUUAAGUUGCAGGGUAUAGACCCGAAACCCGGUGAUCUAGCCAUGGGCAGGUUGAAGGUUGGGUAACACUAACUGGAGGACCGAACCGACUAAUGUUGAAAAAUUAGCGGAUGACUUGUGGCUGGGGGUGAAAGGCCAAUCAAACCGGGAGAUAGCUGGUUCUCCCCGAAAGCUAUUUAGGUAGCGCCUCGUGAAUUCAUCUCCGGGGGUAGAGCACUGUUUCGGCAAGGGGGUCAUCCCGACUUACCAACCCGAUGCAAACUGCGAAUACCGGAGAAUGUUAUCACGGGAGACACACGGCGGGUGCUAACGUCCGUCGUGAAGAGGGAAACAACCCAGACCGCCAGCUAAGGUCCCAAAGUCAUGGUUAAGUGGGAAACGAUGUGGGAAGGCCCAGACAGCCAGGAUGUUGGCUUAGAAGCAGCCAUCAUUUAAAGAAAGCGUAAUAGCUCACUGGUCGAGUCGGCCUGCGCGGAAGAUGUAACGGGGCUAAACCAUGCACCGAAGCUGCGGCAGCGACGCUUAUGCGUUGUUGGGUAGGGGAGCGUUCUGUAAGCCUGCGAAGGUGUGCUGUGAGGCAUGCUGGAGGUAUCAGAAGUGCGAAUGCUGACAUAAGUAACGAUAAAGCGGGUGAAAAGCCCGCUCGCCGGAAGACCAAGGGUUCCUGUCCAACGUUAAUCGGGGCAGGGUGAGUCGACCCCUAAGGCGAGGCCGAAAGGCGUAGUCGAUGGGAAACAGGUUAAUAUUCCUGUACUUGGUGUUACUGCGAAGGGGGGACGGAGAAGGCUAUGUUGGCCGGGCGACGGUUGUCCCGGUUUAAGCGUGUAGGCUGGUUUUCCAGGCAAAUCCGGAAAAUCAAGGCUGAGGCGUGAUGACGAGGCACUACGGUGCUGAAGCAACAAAUGCCCUGCUUCCAGGAAAAGCCUCUAAGCAUCAGGUAACAUCAAAUCGUACCCCAAACCGACACAGGUGGUCAGGUAGAGAAUACCAAGGCGCUUGAGAGAACUCGGGUGAAGGAACUAGGCAAAAUGGUGCCGUAACUUCGGGAGAAGGCACGCUGAUAUGUAGGUGAAGUCCCUCGCGGAUGGAGCUGAAAUCAGUCGAAGAUACCAGCUGGCUGCAACUGUUUAUUAAAAACACAGCACUGUGCAAACACGAAAGUGGACGUAUACGGUGUGACGCCUGCCCGGUGCCGGAAGGUUAAUUGAUGGGGUUAGCGCAAGCGAAGCUCUUGAACGAAGCCCCGGUAAACGGCGGCCGUAACUAUAACGGUCCUAAGGUAGCGAAAUUCCUUGUCGGGUAAGUUCCGACCUGCACGAAUGGCGUAAUGAUGGCCAGGCUGUCUCCACCCGAGACUCAGUGAAAUUGAACUCGCUGUGAAGAUGCAGUGUACCCGCGGCAAGACGGAAAGACCCCGUGAACCUUUACUAUAGCUUGACACUGAACAUUGAGCCUUGAUGUGUAGGAUAGGUGGGAGGCUUUGAAGUGUGGACGCCAGUCUGCAUGGAGCCGACCUUGAA
rnacentral:rRNA from 1 species